AGGAUUAUAGUUUAUUUAUAAAACAUUUGAUUUGCAUUCAAAAAAUAUUGAAUAUACACUCAAUUUAUCUUA
rnacentral:tRNA from 1 species